CAUGCAGUCGAGCGGACCUCUUCGGAGGUCAGCGGCGGACGGGUGAGCAACACGUGGGCAACCUGCCUGUAAGACUGGGAUAACUCCGGGAAACCGGAGCUAAUACCGGAUAACCUUUUGAACCGCAUGGUUCAAAACUGAAAGACGGUUAUGCUGUCACUUACAGAUGGGCCCGCGGCGCAUUAGCUAGUUGGUGAGGUAAUGGCUCACCAAGGCGACGAUGCGUAGCCGACCUGAGAGGGUGAUCGGCCACACUGGGACUGAGACACGGCCCAGACUCCUACGGGAGGCAGCAGUAGGGAAUCUUCCGCAAUGGACGAAAGUCUGACGGAGCAACGCCGCGUGAGUGAUGAAGGUUUUCGGAUCGUAAAGCUCUGUUGUCAGGGAAGAACAAGUGCGGGAGUCACUGCCCGCGCCUUGACGGUACCUGACCAGAAAGCCACGGCUAACUACGUGCCAGCAGCCGCGGUAAUACGUAGGUGGCAAGCGUUGUCCGGAAUUAUUGGGCGUAAAGCGCGCGCAGGCGGUCUUUUAAGUCUGAUGUGAAAGCCCCCGGCUCAACCGGGGAGGGUCAUUGGAAA
rnacentral:rRNA from 1 species